rnacentral:lncRNA from 1 species
AAUAGAAGAAAAGAAAAGAAAAGUAUAUACUUUAUUCCAAAUUUCACUGAGGUAAAGCUGAUGACCGUAACUGCAUUCACGGUCAUCCCAAGAUGUCAGAUGAAAAUUUAGGUCAGUAUCUGUAUUGUCUGUUAUAGUGUUUCUAUUUAGUGAAAUGUAAGGGCCUACAACCGGCAACAUGAGAUAAUAAAAGAGGGACGAAAGAUACCAGAGGGACAGUCAAUCUCAUAAUCGAAAGUAAACUGACAAUACCAUGGCUAAAAAUGAAAAAGACAAACGAACAAUAGAACACAUGACACAAUACAUAAAA